CGAGUUGAACCUUUUCCCUAUUCUUAAAUACAGGGAAAAAUCAUGUUGCAAUCAAUGCUUGUGCUACUAGUUCACAUUCUCUAUUAAUGUUGCAACGAGAAUGAUUCAAUUCAAGGAUGUAGAUGAUAUGGUGACUGGACAGACUGAGUCAAGCAUUGGUGCAUUAUCAAUUGCAGGAUUCUACAAGUAAAUUAUAGCCAACAUUAUAUGUUUUAUGUUUGGCUUAAACUUUUGAAAGACUAGUGUCUUGCAUUUGCUUGUUGGGGUAGAAGACUUGGCUGUGAACUUGGGAUGGAGUUUUUCUGGUGAGGAGAUGGAGGUAGUUCAAGAUGAAACUUCAACCUCACUCAUUAUCAAAUGAAAGCUGGUCGCAGAUAUGAAUUUUGAUUUUACAUUUGUUGAACUAAUGUAUAAGGCAUUUUUCUUUUCUUUUUUUUAUAUAUUAUGUUCCAUUAUAGUUAGUAUCAA